rnacentral:rRNA from 1 species
CUGGCUCAGGAUGAACGCUGGCGGCGUGCUUAACACAUGCAAGUCGAACGAAGCUAAGGGAGCUUGCUCCCAAAGCUUAGUGGCGGACGGGUGAGUAACGCGUGGGUAACCUGCCCUAUAGAGGGGGAUAACGUUCGGAAACGAACGCUAAUACCGCAUAAACCAUAAAGAGCUGCAUGGCUCUGAUGGCAAAGAUUUAUCGCUAUAGGAUGGACCUGCGUUGGAUUAGCUAGUUGGUGAGAUAACAGCUCACCAAGGCGACGAUCCAUAGCCGGCCUGAGAGGGUGAACGGCCACAUUGGGACUGAGACACGGCCCAAACUCCUACGGGAGGCAGCAGUGGGGAAUAUUGCACAAUGGGCGCAAGCCUGAUGCCAGCGACGCCGCGUGAAGGAAGAAGGUCUUCGGAUUGUAAACUUCUAUCAGCAGGGAAGAAUAAAUGACGGUACCUGACUAAGAAGCCCCGGCUAACUACGUGCCAGCAGCGGC